rnacentral:rRNA from 1 species
AGAGUUUGAUCAUGGCUCAGAUUGAACGCUGGCGGCAGGCUUAACACAUGCAAGUCGAGCGGUAGCACAGGGGAGCUUGCUCCCUGGGUGACGAGCGGCGGACGGGUGAGUAAUGUCUGGGAAACUGCCUGAUGGAGGGGGAUAACUACUGGAAACGGUAGCUAAUACCGCAUAACGUCGCAAGACCAAAGAGGGGGACCUUCGGGCCUCUUGCCAUCAGAUGUGCCCAGAUGGGAUUAGCUAGUAGGUGGGGUAAUGGCUCACCUAGGCGACGAUCCCUAGCUGGUCUGAGAGGAUGACCAGCCACACUGGAACUGAGACACGGUCCAGACUCCUACGGGAGGCAGCAGUGGGGAAUAUUGCGCAAUGGGGGGAACCCUGACGCAGCCAUGCCGCGUGAAUGAAGAAGGCCUUCGGGUUGUAAAGUUCUUUCGGUAUUGAGGAAGGAGUGUAUGUUAAUAGCAUACAUUAUUGACGUUAAAUACAGAAGAAGCACCGGCUAACUCCGUGCCAGCAGCCGCGGUAAUACGGAGGGUGCGAGCGUUAAUCGGAAUAACUGGGCGUAAAGGGCACGCAGGCGGUUAUUUAAGUGAGGUGUGAAAGCCCCGGGCUUAACCUGGGAAUUGCAUUUCAGACUGGGUAACUAGAGUACUUUAGGGAGGGGUAGAAUUCCACGUGUAGCGGUGAAAUGCGUAGAGAUGUGGAGGAAUACCGAAGGCGAAGGCAGCCCCUUGGGAAUGUACUGACGCUCAUGUGCGAAAGCGUGGGGAGCAAACAGGAUUAGAUACCCUGGUAGUCCACGCUGUAAACGCUGUCGAUUUGGGGAUUGGGCUUAAAGUUUGGUGCCCGUAGCUAACGUGAUAAAUCGACCGCCUGGGGAGUACGGCCGC